UACGUAGGGUGCAAACGUUGUUCGGAAUCACUGGGCAUAAAGGGCGCGUAGGCGGUCUGAUAAGUCAGGUGUGAAAUCCCUCGGCCUAACCGAGGAACUGCAUUUGAUACUGUCGGGCUAGAGUACAGGAGGGGAGAGUGGAAUUCCUGGUGGAGCGGUGAAAUGCGUAGAUAUCAGGAGGAACGCCGGCGGCGAAAGCGACUCUCUGGCCUGUUACUGACGCUGAGGCGCGAAAGCUAGGGGAGCAAACGGG
rnacentral:rRNA from 1 species